rnacentral:rRNA from 1 species
AGCGAACGCUGGCGGCAGGCUUAACACAUGCAAGUCGAGCGCCGUAGCAAUACGGAGCGGCAGACGGGUGAGUAACGCGUGGGAACGUGCCUUCUGGUUCGGAAUAGCUCAGGGAAACUUGAGCUAAUACCGGAUAAGCCCUUCGGGGGAAAGAUUUAUCGCCGGAAGAUCGGCCCGCGUAAGAUUAGCUAGUUGGUGAGGUAAUGGCUCACCAAGGCUACGAUCUUUAGCUGGUCUGAGAGGAUGAUCAGCCACACUGGGACUGAGACACGGCCCAGACUCCUACGGGAGGCAGCAGUGGGGAAUAUUGGACAAUGGGCGCAAGCCUGAUCCAGCCAUGCCGCGUGAGUGAUGAAGGCCUUAGGGUUGUAAAGCUCUUUUAGCAGGGACGAUAAUGACGGUACCUGCAGAAAAAGCCCCGGCCAACUUCGUGCCAGCCGCCGCCGUAA